AACGAACGCUGGCGGCAUGCCUAACACAUGCGAGUCGAACGAGACCUUCGGGUCUAGUGGCGCACGGGUGCGUAACGCGUGGGAACCUGCCCUUAGGUUCGAAAUAACUCCCCGAAAGGGGUGCUAAUACCGGAUAAUGUCUUCGGACCAAAGAUUUAUCGCCUUUGGAUGGGCCCGCGUUGGAUUAGCUAGUUGGUAGGGUAAAAGCCUACCAAGGCGACGAUCCAUAGCUGGUCUGAGAGGAUGAUCAGCCACACUGGGACUGAGACACGGCCCAGACUCCUACGGGAGGCAGCAGUGGGGAAUAUUGGACAAUGGGCGAAAGCCUGAUCCAGCAAUGCCGCGUGAGUGAUGAAGGCCUUAGGGUUGUAAAGCUCUUUUACCCGGGAUGAUAAUGACAGUACCGGGAGAAUAAGCUCCGGCUAACUCCGUG
rnacentral:rRNA from 1 species